GCAGCGACAACGGCCCAACUCUGCUCUGGCCUUCGACCCCGGGAGUCUCCUCGGACUGGGCCCGCAGGGUCAGAGGGCAGGGUGAAGACUUAUGGGAGGGACCGGUCCCCUAACUGUGCCCCUAGACAUCCUGCCUCAGCUCUGGGGUUGACAGGAAGUGAAACUCACUUGUCUGCCUAAGCAGACCUGCUGGGGACCCAGCCCUGGGCCCCAAAUGUGGCCCCCCACCUUGAGAAGAAGAAGAGGAAGGAGGAGCCUGGAGAGAACAAGGCUGUUGUUUUUUCCUUU